rnacentral:rRNA from 1 species
GAUGAACGCUGGCGGCGUGCCUAAUACAUGCAAGUCGAGCGAACAGACGAGGAGCUUGCUCCUCUGAUGUUAGCGGCGGACGGGUGAGUAACACGUGGAUAACCUACCUAUAAGACUGGGAUAACUUCGGGAAACCGGAGCUAAUACCGGAUAAUAUUUUGAACCGCAUGGUUCAAUAGUGAAAGACGGUCUUGCUGUCACUUAUAGAUGGAUCCGCGCUGCAUUAGCUAGUUGGUAAGGUAACGGCUUACCAAGGCAACGAUGCAUAGCCGACCUGAGAGGGUGAUCGGCCACACUGGAACUGAGACACGGUCCAGACUCCUACGGGAGGCAGCAGUAGGGAAUCUUCCGCAAUGGGCGAAAGCCUGACGGAGCAACGCCGCGUGAGUGAUGAAGGUCUUCGGAUCGUAAAACUCUGUUAUUAGGGAAGAACAAAUGUGUAAGUAACUAUGCACGUCUUGACGGUACCUAAUCAGAAAGCCACGGCUAACUACGUG